rnacentral:rRNA from 1 species
AUUGAACGCUGGCGGCAGGCCUAACACAUGCAAGUCGAACGAGUGGCGGACGGGUGAGUAAUGUCUGGGAAACUGCCUGCUGGAGGGGGAUAACUACUGGAAACGGUAGCUAAUACCGCAUACUAUCGGAUGGGGCCAGAUGGGAUUAGCUUGUGUGUGGGGUAACGGCUCACUACGGCGACGAUCCCUAGCUGGUCUGAGAGGAUGACCAGCCACACGGGGACUGAGACACGGGCCAGACGCCCACGGGAGGCAGCAGUGGGGAAUAUUGCACAAUGGGAGCAAGCCUGAUGCAGCCAUGCCGCGUGUAUGAAGAAGGCCUUCGGGUUUUAAAGUACUUUCAGCGGGGAGGCGUUACCCGCAGAAGAAGCACCGGCUAACUCCGUGCCAGCAGCCGCGGUAAUAC